AUGCCUUGGCGGUUGUCAGUUCACUUCGAUGAGACCAGGGGAGGAAAAGAAAGAGAUUUUUCCGAAAAAAAAAAAAAGGGAAGGAAGGAUGGCGGGAAAGGAGAGAGAGGAGGAAGGAGUGCGUCCCCGGCUCCACGUCCGGCGGCAGAUGGCUGGUUUGUAGCAGGACCAGCCGGGCCCACCUGCCCACCCUGCCAUCCCUGCCAUCCCUGCCCAUCCCUGCCACCCCCCGCCCCCGCGGUCCCUCCCGCGACGUCUGCGCGGCCGGGCCCAGGGCCGCGGGCCCCCGGGGGGCUCCGGGCAGGCAGCCGCCAGGCCCUCGAGAGCCGCGGACGGACGAGCAGCAGGCCCAGCCCUCGGUGCCCCCGCUGCAGGCCGCGUCCGCCGGGAGGGGGGCGCCCCCGGGGCAGGCCGGGCACGGGGCGCGGGGCUGGGGGUGCCCCGAACACGCCCUCGAGGGAAGGAGCCCUCUGCGAGGUCCGGCCCCCGCCUCCGCACGCGGGGCUGCGGCUCCCGACGGCCCACCUGGGGGGCCCGGGGCUCCCCCACCCCCCCGGACCUCACCAUCGGCGGCUCCGGCGCGAGGACGCGGGGCGAGGCCGGGCGCGGCGGCUCCGAGGCGCCCGGAGCGCGGCCUGGCUCCAUGUGCUGCCCGCCGGAUGCGCCGCGCCCGCAGCUUCGCGCCCUCGGCCGGCCACGCCCCUCGGGGCGGAGCCGGGGCGCAUCCCGCCACCUGUGCGCUCGACCUCUCGCGACCGCGGCCCAUCGCGUUACCUGCGAGGCGGCCCCCGCGGCCCCACCGGGCGCCCGGCGCGUGGCGCGGCCCGGCCCCCUCAUCCCCGCCACGGGCCCCCGAGGUGGGUCUUACGACGUGAAAACUGGAGCUCCGAGCCGUUAAGGCGAGUGGUUGGCCGCGGCUCGGCCGAUCCCGGAGCUGAGAACCGGGCCUUCGACUCCGAGGAUCUGCGCUGGGAAUCCGCGCCUCGGCCUGCGAGGCCUCGGUCCUAA
rnacentral:lncRNA from 12 species